CUGCCCACUUCGGCCUCCCAAAGUGCUGGGAUUACAGGCGUGAGCCACCAUGCCCAGCCUUCCUCUGGGUUCUGUACCCUGUAAACAACUGUCUCCUUGACAUUGGGAUCGUUAACAGGCCCUUCAAAGGUCCCCAGGGACGACUCCUUCAGAACCAAUACCAAAUUGGCCCCCUUCAGCCCCUCCACUGCAGCCAACGUUCGCCCCGGGAUGCGCAGCCUCCAUGCUGCCUGCCCCUGGAUUCCGCCAGGGCCUCCCCUCUCUCCUCCAGGGCUCGCUGCGCUCUAGCCUCAGGGCCUUUGCAUCGGUCAUUCCCCCUGCUUGGAAGACUCUUCUCCCGAGUAUCCAUGUGCCUUGCUCCUUGGCUUCACUCAGUGUUGACUUAGCACCGCUAGACGCAGGACAGAUUUCACCUGUUGACUGUCUCCUCGACCCGGCCCCAACAAGAAUGUCCCUGCCACAGGGCAGGGCUCCUGUCUGUGCUACUCACAGCUGCACCCCCACACCCAGACCAGGGGUGAGAUGGGGAGAGGGAAAGAAGAAGAGGGGGACACGGAACACUUGAACGCCAUGCCAGGCUGGGUGCUUGGCAAACGACAGUUCACAAGACAGAAAAUGUGUCUCCUCUCCCGAGUACGUCUACCAAGGAAGACAGAAAGUAACUGAAUAAUUACUUGAAUAACAUCCCCUGUUGCAGCGGGGACAGAUCCUGGUGCGGAAGACAAAUUAUACCCCCACCAACACACACAUGCCCAAGGAGGUCCAUGUUCUAAUUCCCAGAACCUCUGAAUGUCACCUCACAGGGCAAAAGGGACGUGAAGAGAUUAAGAAGGAUAUUAAGGAUUGUGAGCUGGGAAGACUAUCCUGGACCAUCUGAGUAGGCUCAGUAUAGCCACAAGGGCCCUUAACAUAGAGGGGGGAACAAAAACAGAGGCCAGAUAUGAGACAGAAGCAGGGUCAGAGAGAGCUCUGAGGGUGCUAUGCAGCUGGCUCCGCACACAGAGGGAGGGCCAUGAGCUAAGGGGUGCCAGUGACCCCUAGAAGCUGGAAAGACAAGGGAAUGGAUUAUCCCUUGACUCCCCUAGAAGGAACCCUCCGGGCUGACACCCUGACUUCAACUUAGUGAAACUUAUUUUAGACUCCUGACCUACAGGACCACAGAUAAUAAAC